AGGGAAAGUUGCGCAGUAAUGCGAAAUAAAGGAAAUUUAUAUAUAAAUCGCACGUUAUUUUUGUAUUUAUGGUACGCGUGUGUAAAACUCAAAAUGUGCAUAAUUUCAGUUUUACGUAGGUACGAACGAAAAUUUCUAUGAAUUGCGAACGCGUGGCUCGGUGCAAAGUUCUGUUUGUUUUGCGAACGUUACACUGGUAAAUUGCAUUCGUCAUAUACGACUUAUUGAUCAACUGCGCAAUUUAUUAAGACUGUCGCCGUGUUUACAAACAAACCUUGUGAGCGGUUGAUAUUAAUUGAUACUCGUGCCCUUUUCUAAUUGAAUUUUCAUUUUUGCAUUUAGGUCACGCAUGUAACACUAAUCAUUGACCUUCCUAAUUUUUCUGUAGCUUUCCACGCGAGUUCUCCCAGGAGAUAAUCAAGUUACAUUUCCAUUUGUGGGCGUUAAUACCGUCAAGAGUUUAUAUACGGAGUCUUAUUACCUCUAGUGAGUGCAAAUGAUGUGACAACUUAGUUCUCAAGCCAUGGGAAAGUGUAAUUUUAGUCUUAAGAUAUGCGUUUCCGGUUUCCUUAUAUUACUGAAAAAUCUCAUUACUAUCUACCUACGUAUUAUUUGCCGGGAAGUAUUCUUAUUUAUGCAUUUCAAUCGACCAAUUCAAAAGUGAACUUUUUUUAAGUUCUGACUGAAGAGAUAUAUAAUAUCAUCGGUAGUUCUAGGGCUCCUGAUAAGUCAAAUAAGAUCAAAUGUUGCGAAAUAAAACCCCCAAUGGCCCCAACAGAGCUUGUCUUAAGACAUGCACGCACAUGCAACUAUAUGUGUGAUUUGAAGCCAGACAUAGCCGUAGAGACUUGCUUUAAGACAUGCACCAAAGAUUCUUCUAGUAAAGGCACAGACGGAGAUGAUUUCAAAAUAUUUUGAGGCAGAUGUUGAUGACGGAGUUACACAACAUUCAUGUGAGAGCACAGACGGACGUUGUUGCACGCCCGUUUAUUAAAGCAGGCCUUCCACGUGCAUUCAUUUCAUCGACGCUUUGAACUUGGAACACAAUGUUGAAACACACUUCCACGUUCGCACAUGCCAAAGGAUUUCAAACAAAAGAAAGAUAUCUGAAGAUGAGAAAAAAGAUAGGCACUACUGGAUGAAACCGUGGUACUUGAAAAGUUACGAAUUCACGCAUUUGUGAUUAUUAUUCUUCAGAUUAUGCCAAUUAUUUUUGAAUGGAUUCAAAUAUAUCCGAAUACGUACUGACUUUGAUAGAAAAGUGGAUUAAAAAAGAUUCGCUCACAAACUCUUGCCAGAUGUUGGGUCUGAGUGCAACUCUGCAAAAUAUAGACAAUGCAAACCAAAUUUAUUUAAAAAAUUAUUUAAGAUUAUAUAGUAUUCUUAUUCCUUGUUCCUUAACAUAAAGGAUCUCUGGAAAAUUAGCAACUGAAAGAAUCUGAAAAUAAGAGAUGGAAGAAGUCAAAAAGAAUCAAAAAUCUUUGGAAUCUGACCAACCAAAGAAAAGAAACGGUCUGAAUCGGGAAACAUUAGAAUAAGCGAGGGAAGUAUCCGAGGAACCCAAAAUAUUUGAAGAGUCUGGCGAAUCUGAAUAAAUUCACAGGUUUCCCAAUCUAUACAUACAGCCAUCAGAGACAUUGGAAAUGAUAACCGGUAUAACGGCAUAUUAUGUAAAACACAAACAACUCUUAUUCAAUCGGAUUUCCUCAGGCCACCCUUCUGAAUAAUAAUCAAAGGAGAUGUGCGAGAAUUUUAAUUAGAAUUAACAAAUCAAUUGAACACUAUUAAGUAAGUACCGAUCACGGUCGUGUACGGUACAAUCGUCACUUGAUGUCAGACCGUUGUCUUUUGGACUUGAACGAAACUCUUCAUUUUGUAUCCAUAUACGCAAACAUAAACCUUUCCAAUGUUAUAAAAAUAAUUUGGAAAUCCGAAGAAAUGUUCUGACAGUACCCUCAAAUCAGAAAGUCUCAGGACACGAGUUACCACGCAAUUUCAAAUUAGAUCAAAGAUGGAAAGUUUAUCGCAAAAGGUUUUUUCAUCGAAUGUAAAU